rnacentral:rRNA from 1 species
GUACACAAAAAUGCACAUACUGUGAGCUCGAUGAGUAGGGCGGGACACGUGGUAUCCUGUCUGAAUAUGGGGGGACCAUCCUCCAAGGCUAAAUACUCCUGACUGACCGAUAGUGAACCAGUACCGUGAGGGAAAGGCGAAAAGAACCCCGGCGAGGGGAGUGAAAAAGAACCUGAAACCGUGUACGUACAAGCAGUGGGAGCCUCUUAAUGGGGUGACUGCGUACCUUUUGUAUAAUGGGUCAGCGACUUAUAUUCUGUAGCAAGGUUAACCGAAUAGGGGAGCCGAAGGGAAACCGAGUCUUAACUGGGCGUUAAGUUGCAGGGUAUAGACCCGAAACCCGGUGAUCUAGCCAUGGGCAGGUUGAAGGUUGGGUAACACUAACUGGAGGACCGAACCGACUAAUGUUGAAAAAUUAGCGGAUGACUUGUGGCUGGGGGUGAAAGGCCAAUCAAACCGGGAGAUAGCUGGUUCUCCCCGAAAGCUAUUUAGGUAGCGCCUCGUGAAUUCAUCUCCGGGGGUAGAGCACUGUUUCGGCAAGGGGGUCAUCCCGACUUACCAACCCGAUGCAAACUGCGAAUACCGGAGAAUGUUAUCACGGGAGACACACGGCGGGUGCUAACGUCCGUCGUGAAGAGGG